AACACAAAAUAUACUAAAAUUUUAAAUAAUAAAGAAACAGAAUAAAUAAAUAAAUACGUAAUAAAUUGUAUAUAGAAAAUACAUCUAUGAACGUGUUUUCAAGAGAAUACAAAAUAAACAUACCUCUUCCACUUUCUCUUCUUCAGAUUCAAAAUCAUAUGAACCAGGACUUGAAAUUUUACUACAUUCACCUUUUUCAUCCUGAUUUAUCUUUUUCACUGAUUUUUGGAUUUUUGGGGUUUUGGGGAUGAAGGUUUUUUCAAACCUUUUCGUUUCAUUUUUUCCACAAUAUUUUUCGAGUUGUUACAGUGCUUCAAACUCCCUCCUUCACUGCUAACACCUUCCUUAGCCUGAAUAUUAGAAGAACAAAAGUUAAAAACUUCAUCUUGAGUUAACCCAAGACUAAAAGAUGGAAGUUCAUUAGAAACUAAAUCCAUCGAUUUAUUAGCACUAACUGAAAAACUACCCUUUGCAUGUUGUGCCAUUAUAUAGAAAAAUUAAAGAUUUCAACACAAAUUAAAAAAAAAAAAAAAACCUAAAAGACGAAGAAAAAGAAGAAUGAAAAAUUGAAAAAAAAAAUGCCAAUAAAACAAAUAAAAGAGAUUAUAUAGAAAAUAUAAUAUGCAUUAAUUGAAACAUAAUCUUACCUUAAAAAUUGGAUGCAAAGUUUAUCAAGUUUUAGAGAGAAAAAAACGGAAUUUCAAAAAUAAAAAUAAAAAUUGGAGGGAACUGAAAUUGGAAUAUGAGGUGAAAAGGGGAGAAGGUAAAAAAGUUGAGUUAAGAUGUGUUUGUCAAUAUUUUGUUGAUCUUUUGUAGGGUUUGGUUAUUAGUAUGAAAGAUUGAAUGUAUUUUGAAAUCUUUGUGCUAAAGUUUGUUUGUUUUCAACAGUUGCGGUCCAAGUGAAGUGAAUUUGGCUGAUCUGUUUUUUUUUCUUAUAUUAAGACGUACUUUUGUCAAUAACUCACAUUAUCGCUGUAUUUGGUUAACGUUUGUAGGCCUCAUGGAAAUAGUGGUGUUUGCGAGAGCUAAAGUCAACUCCAAUUUGCCACUGAAUUUGUGUUUGGUACAUUUCGAUUGCAAUAGCAUAAUUAAUUUAAUUCACUCUCUUUUUAGUCAUGGUAACUUACUCCAAAACUGACAAUCUAUCAUUCAAAUAGAAAUAGAACAUUGUACUGCCUCAGAUUCCAGUUUUUUACAUCUUAGUUCACUCGAUCUAGCUAAAAAAAGAUCAUCCACUCGCAAGGUGUUAUUCUGUGGCAUUUGAUAAUACAAAACAUUACAAACAGUGGCAUUGUCUAAGCAUUUCAAAUAGAAAUUGAACAUUGUACUGCCUCAGAUUCCAGUUUUAUACAUCUUAGUUCACUCGAUCUAGCUAAAAAAACAUCAUCCACUUGCAAGGUGUUAUUCUGUGGCAUUUGUUAAUACAAAACAUUAUGACACUUUGUUUCUGAACUUUAAUUAUGAACUUCAAUUACAAACAGUGGCAUUAUCUAAGCAUUUCAAAUAGAAAUUAAACAUUGUACUGCCUCAGAUUCCAAUUUUUUACAUCUUAGUUCACUCGAUCUAGCUAAAAAAAGUUCAUCUACUCGCAAGGUGUUAUUCUGUGGUAUUUGAUAAUACAAAACAUUAUGAAAAUUUGUUUCUGAACUUCAAUUAUAAAUUUCAAUUACAAACAGUGGCAUUAUCUAAGCAUUUCAAAUAGAAAUUGAACAUUGUACUCCCUCAGAUUCCAGUUUUUUACAUCUUAGUUCACUCGAUCUAGCUAAAAAAAGACCUUCCACUCGCAAGUUGUCAAUCUGUGGCAUUUGUUAAUACAAAACAUAAUGACAAUUUGCUUAUGAACUUCAAUUACAAACGGUGGCAUUAUCUAAGCAUUUCAAAUAGAAAUUGAACAUUGUACAACUUAAGAUUCCAGUUUAUUACAUCUUAGUUCACUCGAUCUAGCUCAGUUUAUCUUAACACUAACCUUUGUUGUAUAAGUCGAUCACCGAGUCACCCAAAUUCUUCAUGAUGCUCUUCCCUAUUGCAAGCAACUUGGUUCUCAGCAUAUUGUGAUUUUCAAUUUUCGAAUCUGAAAUUUUGUGCGGGAGUUUGAAAAUUUGGGAGGGGAAAAAACUUAUUAUAUGGGUGGGGCUGAAAUUUGUGCGGGAAUUUGAAAAUUUUAGAGGCG
rnacentral:lncRNA from 1 species